UACGUAGGGUGCAAGCGUUGUCCGGAAUUAUUGGGCGUAAAGAGCUCGUAGGCGGUCUGUCGCGUCUGCUGUGAAAACUCAGGGCUUAACCCUGAGCUUGCAGUGGGUACGGGCAGACUAGAGUGCGGUAGGGGAGACUGGAAUUCCUGGUGUAGCGGUGAAAUGCGCAGAUAUCAGGAGGAACACCGGUGGCGAAGGCGGGUCUUUGGGCCGUAACUGACGCUGAGGAGCGAAAGCAUGGGGAGCGAACAGG
rnacentral:rRNA from 1 species